CUACGGGUUGCUCCAGUAGGGAAUUUUCGGCAAUGGGGGAAACCCUGACCGAGCAACGCCGCGUGAAUGACGAAGUACUUCGGUAUGUAAAGUUCUUUUAUCAGGGAAGAAUGACUUAUGGAAAAAUAAGUGUGACGGUACCUGAUGAAUAAGCCCCGGCUAACUAUGUGCCAGCAGCCGCGGUAAUACAUAGGGGGCAAGCGUUAUCCGGAAUUAUUGGGCGUAAAGGGUGCGUAGGUGGUUAGAUAAGUCUUAGGUGUAAGUGCAGAGCUUAACUCUGUGAUGCUAGAGAAACUGUCUGACUUGAGUGUGGUAGAGGCAAGUGGAAUUCCAUGUGUAGCGGUAAAAUGCGUAAAUAUAUGGAGGAACACCAGUGGCGAAGGCGGCUUGCUGGGCCAUAACUGACACUGAGGCACGAAAGCGUGGGGAGCAAACAGGAUUAGAUACCCGCGUAGUC
rnacentral:rRNA from 1 species